rnacentral:misc_RNA from 1 species
UCCUCGUUUAAGCGAGGCAGUCUGUCCAGAGUGCUCCAGCCUCUCGGCCGGGUGGUAACAGGACACAGGGGUUGCGCUCGUUGCGGGACUUAACCCAACAUCUCACGACACGAGCUGACAACAGCCAUGCGGCACCUGUGCAAGCUCCCCUUGCGGGGUCGUCCCUCUUUCAAGGUUCUACCACUUGCAUGUCAAGGCCAGGUAAGGUUCUUCGCGUUGCAUCGAAUUAAGCCACAUACUCCACCGCUUGUGCAGGCCCCCGUCAAUUUCUUUGAGUUUUAAUCUUGCGACCGUACUUCCCAGGCGGCACGUUUAACGCGUUAGCUUCGCCACGGACGGGGUCGAAUCCGCCCACAGCAAACGUGCACCGUUUACGGCUAGGACUAC